rnacentral:lncRNA from 1 species
UUACCCUCAGUCCCGCUUUUGAGAACUUUUUCAUGUACUGGGGAAAUAUUCUUGCACCAAGAUCCUUCCCAUAAUUUAAUUUCUACCCCCCAAACCCAAGGCGUUGUCUCCUACUCCCUGCAAUGUCGUUUUUGUCAGGUUCAGCGAUCAGAGAUUUAAUCUCAAUUAUGCCAAUUCUCUUGUGCGGAUCACCCUUUGCAGAACAACAUGGCGGACCAAGUUGUUCCGUUGGAUUCGAUCUGGAUGGCUUACAAUAAAACUACUCUCAUCGGUGGAAUUGGUUCAUCAAUGACCCGUUAAUUAAUGGGCAGAUUUUGAAUAAAAUGUAAUAUAAGUUGAAAAUUUUAUGUACAAUAGGAGAACAAUCAGAAAAUAUUUCGAAAGUU